rnacentral:lncRNA from 1 species
UGCAACACAUAUUGGUCCUCGAAAUAGCAUUCAUAAUCAAUCAAAAAGGAAGUGUGAAGAUCUUAUGAGGGAAGAACAAUCUAUUGAGGCUGCAUUUUACAAGUUGGACGAGAAAAGUAAGAAUGAAUAUCGAGUUCGGUUAAAUACUUCAAUCGAUGUGGUCCGAUUUCUUCUAAAUCAAGGUUUAGCACUUCGUGGUCAUGAUGAAAGUGAAUCAUCCUUGAACAAAGGUAAUUUUCUUGAAUCACUUUCUUGGCUUGCGGAUAGAUGUGAUGACAUUAAACCUUAUGUGUUAGAAAAAGCUCCAAAAAUAAUAAAAUGAUUUCUCAUGAUAUUCAAAAAGAUAUUGUGACUGCGUGUAAGAUUGAAACAAUCAAAACUAUAAUAAAAGAUUUAGAUGGUGACUUCUUUGCUUUGUUGGUUGAUGAAUCAAGAGACGUAUCACGCAAAGAACAAAUGGAUAUUUGUUUACGAUAUGUUGAUAAAAGGGGAUUUGUGAUAGAAGCAUUUAUUGGACUUGUUCAUGUUAAAGAUACUAGUGUUUUAUCUCUAAAGAAAGCAAUUGUGGAUGUACUUGCUCACCAUUCUUUAACUUUAGCUUAUGUAUGAGGGCAAUGUUAUGAUGGGGCAAGCAAUAUGCAAAGUGAGUUAGGUGGUCUUAAAACAUUAAUUAGACAAGAAAGUAGAUCGGCUCACUCGGUUCAUUAUUUUGCUCAUUAACUUCAAUUGACUCUUGUUGUGGUUUCUAAAAGGUGUGUUCAAGUAGGAGAACUUGUACUAUUGACUUCAAAUAUUUUGAAUGUGUUGGGGGCUUCCUUUAAACAUAUGGAUGAAUUUCAAGAAUCUCAAAAAGAAAAACUCCAAGAAGCAUUAGAUAUGGGUGAGCUAGAAAUGGGUAGAGGUUUGAAUCAAGAACUUAGUCUUAUUAAAGCUAGUGACACUCGUUGGGGAUCUCACUACAAGUUGUUUGGAAACUUUAUUAGUAACUUUUCCUCCAUUGUUGAUGUACUUGAUUCUCUUGUUGAAAAUGCAAGUACUUUGGAAGAAAAAGCUGGCGCAUCGGGAUUUCUUAGAAGUUGUCAAACUUUUGAGACUAUUUUCUUGUUGCAUUUGAUGACUGAUGUUUUAGGAAUCACAAAUGAUCUUAAUGUGUCAUUACAGAAAAAGGAACAGGAUAUUGCUAAUGCCAUGAUUCUUGUAAUAGUAGCAAAGAGAAGACUACAAGCAUGAUGAGAUAAUGAAUGGGAUCCUAUUUUAAAAAAAUGUUGGUUGGGAUUCAAUCAAAGAAAAGGUCGAGGCAUUUUGUAUUAAGCAUAGUAUUCCAUUACCCAAUUACGAUGAGCCAUAUGCUAACUCAGGGAUAUCAUGAUGUAAAUUAGUUGAUUAUACUACUUUACACUAUUAUCGUGUGGAUGUGUUUUAUAAAAUUAUUGAUUGGCAGCCACAAGAACUUAAUGACUGUUUUAAUGAGGUGACAAGUGAUUUGGUUAAUGGUGUAGCUUGCUUGAAUCCAAUUGAUACAUUUUCUAGUUUUGACAUCCAAAAGAUAUUGGUGAUGGCUAAAUUAUAUCCUGAUGACUUUGAUGAGUUCAAAUGAGGGUUCUUGAGAAUCAACUUGUUAAUUAUAUUAUUGAUGUUCGUGAUAUUAAUAAAAGAUUCUCUAAUUUAGGCGGACUUGGGGAACUUUUAAGAAAGUUGGUUGAGACAAAGAAGAACUUAACCUAUCCUCUUGUAUUUCUUUUAGUGAAGUUUGCUUUGCUUCUACCCAUUGCCACUGCAUCAGUUGAAAGAGCUUUUUCGGCAAUGAAGUAUAUCAAGAAUGAUUUGUGGAAUUGAAUGGAUGAUGAAUUCUUAGAUGGUUGCAUAGUGUCUUAUGUAGAAAAAAGAAUAUUUAAGAAUAUUUCUAAUGAGUGUAUUAUAGAAACAUUUCAAGGGAUGAAGCGUCGCCGAAUGCACUUGUAAUUAUAUUUUCUAAUCAAGCUUUUAUUAAUGAAAUUUGCUUUGUUGACUUUAUUUAUAUUAUAUGUUUCAACUUGUUAUCCUCUAGGUUUUUUAUGAUUAGUUUGGUUCAAAGAUUCUUCUUCCUCAAUAUACGAUUUACAAUAUUUUUUUAUGACCCGUUUCUUUUUCUAAUAAUAUGAACACCUUUAACCAAAAUCCUGGCUCUGCCACUGCGGCUGUUAACUCAAGAUCAUGAGUCAGAUAAUUCUUCUCAUGGGGUUUAAGCUGUCUGGAGGCGUAGGCUAUGACCUUACCAUGCUAUAUGAGGACACAACCCAAACCUACUCUGGAUGCAUCAUAAUACACUACGAACCCAUCUGAACCAUCUAGAAAACCCAAAACUGGAGCUGAGGUGAGUCGAGUCUUCAACUCCUGAAAACUCUUCUCGCAAGGAUCUAACCACUGAAACUUUACUUUCUUCUGAGUCAAUCUGGACAUAGGAGAUGCAAUAUAAGAAAAUCCCUCAGCAAACCGUCUAUAAUAGCCAGCCAAACCCAAGAAACUCUUGAUAUAUGAUGGAGAGACAGGUCUGGGCAGUUUCUAACUGCUUCAGUCUUUUGAGGAUCAACCCUAAUGCCAUCACCAUAAAUGAUAUGACUAAGAAAUGCUACUGACCUUAGCGAAAACUUGUACAUACUGAAUUUGGCAAACAACUGAUGAUAUCUGAGAGUCUAAAGCAUGAUUCUGAGAUGGUCUGCAUGAUUAUGCUCACUACGGAAGCUGUUGGGGCAUUGGUAAGAACAAAGGACAUAACUAGGAAUUCAAAGUGACCAUACUGAGUAUGGAAGGCUAUUUUUGGAAUGUCACAUUCUCUGACUCUGAGCUGAUGAUAACCUGAUAUGAGGUCUAUUUUUGAGAAAUAACUGACACCCUGAAGUUGAUCAAAUAGGUCGUCAAUUCGAGGAAGUGGAUACUUUUUCUUGACCGUGACUUUAUUGAGCUCACGGUAAUCAAUGCACAUUCUGAUAGAACUGUUUUUCUUAUGCAUGAAUAAGACUGGUGCACCCCACGGAGAUACGCUGGAUCUAAUAAAUCCCUUAUCUAAGAUAUCCUUCAACCGCUUUUUUAAUUCUCUGAGUUCUGUUGGUGCCAUUCUAUAUGGUGGGAUAGAUAUAGGCUGAGCAUCUGGAAGAAUAUCAAUGCUGAAGUUUAUUUCCCUUUUGGGAGGAAUUCCUAGAAGAUCUUUGGGAAAGACAUCCGAAUAUUUCUUCAUGACUGGGACUGAUUCAAGAUUGGGAGUCUCAGAGCUAGAGUUUUUAACAUGAACAAGAUGAUAAACACAUUCUUUAGAUAUCAUUUUCCUUGCUCGAAGGUAGGAAACAAGCUGACCUUUUAAAGCUGAAGUACUACCCCUCUAUUCUAGGACAGGUUUAUUCAAAAACUAGAACUGGACAACUCUGUUUCUACAGUCGACUGUGGCAUAGUAGGAAUGAAACCAAUCCAUGCCGAGAAUGAUAUCAAAAUCAGUCAUCUCUAAUUUGACUAAGUCUGCUGAGGUAACUUUCUAAAUAUCAUAACUGGACAAUUAUUGUAUACCCACCGUGCUAUCAUAGUUCUUUCUAGUGGGGUAGAUACUGAAAAGGGCUCUGCUAGAAUUUCAGGACUAACUUCAAAAUCAAUUGCUAUGUAAGGAGUAACGAAAGAUAAGAAAUUUCCUGUAUCAAGCAAAGCGUAAAUACGCAAAUGAAAGAUCUAUAACGUACCAAUAACCACAUCAAGAGAAUUUUUCUGAUCUUAUCGGGACUGGCGAGCAUAAAGUCUGUUUGGGCGUUGCCCACUAGUAGCACUGGAAGUGGUACCCUACUGAUUUAGGCAAUCGGACUGGGCUGAGGAACGAUUCUGCUGACCCUGAUAACCUGACUGGGGACAAUCCCUAACUCUGUGACCUGGCUUGCCAUAUUUGAAACAGACAUCGCUGCCAGCUUUGCAAACACCCUUAUGGUUCUUACCACAAGUCUGACAAAGGGGAUUAUUUUAGGCAUUGCUGACACUACCUUGAGACUUAGAGCCUAGUGCCCUAUCUCUAUUGCCUUCUUUGAAUUUCGGCACUGGAGCACUAGCUGAAGAAGAAGAUGGAAUGAAUGACUUAGGAUGGAAUUGAGAAUGAUUCCCUCCUUCUGAUUUAGGUUGAGUAAAGUUGAAACUACCUAUCCUUACUCUCUUAUUCUAUUUCUCUCGCAUCUUAAUCUUUUGCUCUUCUAUUUCCUGAUCAUGGGUCAUAAGCCUGGCUAUGUUCAUGUCACUAUUCAAUAUCGCAAACCUGCACUUAUUGACCACACUAUUAUUUACCCCAGAAACAAACUUACUCAUCUUGGCCCUGCUGUCUGCCACUACAUAGGGAGCAUAUAUGGUUAAUUGAGUAAACAUAAGAGAAUACUCUUUCACCGUCAUAUUACCCUGCCUGAGGUUGAUAAAUUCUAACACCUUUGCUUCUCUCAACUCUUGGGGGAAAGAAUCUAUCUAAGAAUGCGGUGACAAACUCCUUCCACUCUAUGGAUUCUACAUCAACUGAACUCUCUGACUUCUACUGCUUGAACCAAGUGUGAGCAACAUCCUCCAACCGAUAUGCAGCUAGCUCUGUACUCUCACUAGAAGUAACCCCCAUGAUGUCCGUAACCUUCUGUACGUGAUCAAGAAGUUCUUGAGGGUCUUCAUUGGCCUUAGACCCAAAAAAAGAUGGAGGAUUCAUUCGGGUGAAGUCCUAAAUCCUGGUUGCAGCUGAAUUGGCCACUGGGUUAGCUGGAACGAUAGCUGAUCAUUUAUUCUGAGCAGCAACUGACUAGGCAAGAGUAGUGAAUAUAGCUCUGAACUCUGCAUGAGGGAUAUGUUCGCCUAAAUGAUCUUCAUGAUAAGGGGCUGACUGAUUUCUAGUUCUCUUCUUGGGAAGCAUGUUCUGUAAACAGAAGAGAAAAGGAUUAGAACGAGAGAUUAACUUGAGAUUAUGCUCACUGGCAUGACAUGAAUACUGAAAGAAGGGAAACUGUUCCUAAAACAUCUUAUAGCCUACUGCACAAAAAUAUGGUCUGCAACACACCCAUGUACAAGAGUCUACUAAAUGAGGCUUUCAGACUUUCUAGGAUACUAUUGAACCUUAGGUUCUGAUACCAAGUUUGUAACACUCCAAAUUUAGUAUCCGAAAUGCUACACGGUGCUCAUGACCUCGAAGGAUCACAAGCUAACCCAUGACUAAUAGCUGUACCUGAAUACUACAUAAUAUAUUGUAUAAAUGCAAAAAUAAAGGAUGAAAGACCAUAAGGUUCAAAACUGAUAAAACAUAACAUCUGAAAGUACAGUAUAUCAAUACCAAAACAAACUAAAACAAAACUGUCUGAACAUACUGUAGUCUGAAAAGCCUCUAAAAUUAAACUGUCUAAAUAAGGAGUUGAUGGGACAUGUCCCCAACUAAAUCCAAAUACUAAAAUAAACUAUGUAAUAAAGAAAUAAAGUAUUAAUCAUGUCCUUGAAGAAUGAGGACUCACUGCUAACUCCGACUGCUGAAACUAGAAUACUAUUGAUGCUCUGAAGCUCAUGCUUCUAAACCUAUGAUAUAGAAUUAAACACCAUAGCGCAAAUGCGCCAUUAUGAUUGAAUGUACUGGUAUGCAUGUGAGAUAGGCUGAAUGUAAAGGAUUCAAAUGCAUGAACAAUGCUAACUGACUGUAUAACAUAAACAUGAGAAUAAAUGUAUAAAUAAGGGCCUAUAACUGAAUUAGUGAUGGUACUGACUACUGAGUCUGAUUACUGACAACAUGAGUUACUGAUAACUGAUAUAACUGAUACUGAAUAAUUGUAGCUAGCAGUCUAGGUUCUGAUGAAACUAGUUGAGUUUUACACUGUGCUGAGUUGACUGUAGCUGACAGUUUUGAAAACUAAAGAACUAUCUGAGUUCUUUUACUGAGACUGAGACUGUGGGAAGUAGUCAUCUAAUCAACAUGCCCUAAAUAACGCAUUAUAGCUGAGUUGGGGUCUAAUUUGUAAAUCCAAUUGGAAGGGUGUCAAUACCGCGCCACUGGUAAAGACAAGCUGUAGGUGACCCUCAUCUGGCUGUGUCUCCAAAAGAGAAUGGUAGGACCCUUAUUUGACAAUGUUAAUCCACCUCAUUAACCCUCAUCUAUCAGUGUUGAUGUCUCAACCUAUGCUGGCUACAUAGUUAUGGAACACAAAGAUUGCUUCUAAGGAUCACACCCUCAACUAUCAGUGUGUGUCCUCAUUCUUGGGUUCACUUGGUGCUAAAUCCUACUUCCAUCUGAAUAGAAACUGAACAUGAUUAACUGAAUUGAACUGGACUAAGUUUAUUGAGCACCAUUGACUGACGGAAUACUGCUGAGAUUACUGAAUUACUGAGCUUUCUGAGAUUACUGAGUUUUUUUGAGUUACAUGACUGACUGAAUUAUACUAAACAUGGCUUGACUGAGGAUAUCGUGAAAACAUGACACUGGCUCUAGGCACACAACUAAAUUAUCGGGUACAAUACCCCCAGGACUAGAUAGAAGAAAACAGACAAGAUAUGACAUUCUUGAAUACAUGACCAACAUCAACAAUCCAUAAUACAAUAAGUUGAGGAUUUCAUGAAGUACAUGGUUAACAUAAUCUUGUACAUGGUAGGAAUGCAUAUACUCAAUGUCAAAAUUUCAUACUCUAAUAUCAUGAGCAUUCCAACAAACAUCUACAUUGCACAUCAAUAGCAUGGGAGUCAUUUGAACAUAAGGGUAAAAUAUGAAUCCAUCACAUAAAUCACAAUUGAGCUAUAUUACAUAAUUUUUAGUCCCUUAUGCAUUUUAUCAAACACUUAGGUUGCAUGACUUAAGGCAUGGAAUAAUCCUCAAAUUAACAUAUCAUAACCAACUAAAAUUCAUGGUUUUCAACUCACAUGCUAACAUAUUUUCAUAAAAACACAUAAAGAUUCCAACUUGGGAAUCAUUUAACAGCAACCACAUGAACAUAAUCAACCCAUAGCAUGAAUAUCAUAAUAUAUAGUUUAAAACUUGAUCCUUGGGCUUCAUGGACCAAAGGAAUCUAUGAAUGAACACUAUGCAUACCUUAGUAUGUGAUUCUACAAAGAUUUACGGUGAAAUUUUCUUUAUUUGAAUCCCCAAUUGAGAAUCCUAACUUGUUCUUGAGAGAAUUUUGAGAGAAGUGAAUAUAUUUUGGUUGAAUUGUGUCUAAAUCUCGUGUUAUAGGCUUAUAUAGGAGUGGAAAAUACCCAUUCUACCCUUAAAAUAACUCAAAAAGGGGGUGUUUACGUCACUUGGGCCUUAAGAUAUGCGGCGCACAACUUAUCGCGUAAGCUAGGUGGUGCGUCGCACAACUUAUGACAUAAGUUAGGUUGUGCGUCUCACAACUUAUGGCAUAACCAUUGCAAUAGCCUUAGGCGAUUUGUUAAGCGACGCACUCCAUUUUGCAAAGCCAUAACUUCUUGCUCGGGUGUUGGAUUUUGGUAAAAUUGGUAUCGUUGGAAAGCUAAUUCGAUUCUCUACAAUUUGGUGGAUCUAAAUCUGCCAAAAUACCACAUAUACAUCAAGUUAUACUCAUUCAAAGAUGACUAUAUUGAAAUCAAACACUAAAACUUGAUGGAUUCAAAAGCUCUUAGCUUGCCUUACUCUAAGUGACUCUUAUGAACAUGCUUAACACAUCAUAAGCUCUCUUCUCACUAGGAUACUCAUUGUAAGUCAUGUACUCAAAUAUGAAUCACAGGAUAGGAGGUUUCAUACGUAGGAACAAUGGUUUAUUUUCUAGCUCAGAAAUAUACGGGGUAUUACACCUUUCCUCUUAGAAAGAGGUUUGUCAAAUAUGAAAAAGUUUUAUAUUUUUCUUUCAUAAAAAGUAAAAGUAAUUAUGGUAUUAAUUUUAUUUUCUUUCUAAGAAUAGUAAAACUUAAAUUUGGUAAGAAAAUCAGAGCAAAAAUCCUAACACUUAAGAGGCAUCAUAUAUAGAUAUCGGAAUAAGACAAUACACAUAUUAUUAUAUUUUCAAUCAUUAGUUGAAAAAUAAAAAGAAAGAUGAAAUCAAAUGUUCGAGCUCUUGUCGAUAUCUACUUCCACAAGUCUCUCACCAUUUAAGAGCAUCUUCUUCUUUUUCUGGUGGAAUAAAAACAUAAACAUCAUAGUGAAAAAGAAGGAUAACCUUGAGUAAAAUCGCAUCAAAUAAAACAUAUGAACUUCUAUAGAAAGAAAAAUGGAAUGAAUACAUAAAUGUCUCGAUAUCUACUUUCUCAAGCCUAUCACCAUUCAAAAGUCUUCUUCUUUUCAAGACAAACAAAAGCAUGAAUAUAAUAGUGAAAACGAAGGGUAACCUUGGAUAGCAUUUCAUGAAAAAAAAAAAUGAAUUUAUAUACACAAAAAUAAAGGGAUACCAUAAGGUAUCAUUAACUUUUGUAUUAAAUAUUUAGUGGUUAUAAAUAUAAAAUCAUGAAUAGCUUGAGAGUUACAAAUAUUUUGUAGAAAUUAAAUAGAUGAGUUACCUCAAACAUAUUUUUUUCUUUAAUUACAUAGUAAAUAGAGUUUAAAUGUGGUGACUUUUGAUUUUUCUCUAAACACACGAAUAUUUAAAAUAAGAAAAAAACUCAACAAAUAUCUUUAAAAACCACAAAAAAGAUAAAUAGGUUUGAAGACCUCUAAGGCAUGCCACAUAGGAUUGACUAUUGAUCUCUUUUAUAUAUACACUACUAUACGUACCCGCACGAUGUGCGGAUAAUAUUAAAAUAUUAUUUUUAAUUAUUUUAUAUAGAAAUAUUUUGUCCAAGCAUGUUACAUCAUAUUAUCUUUAAAAAAAGUUUAACUAUCAUUCUAUUUCACAAAAAAAAAAUCAAAAAAAAUCUACUCCGCACUCACCCACACCCACACGCCUUUACCACCACCCAUUUCCUCCCCAUCCUAAUACCUCAUCCCCCCCCCCUCCUCCUUCCGCCCCCCGUGAUUGUUAAAAUAAUUUAAAUUUUUAUUCUAUUAUCCUUCCAUCUUUUUCAUUUAAAAGUUAUAAAUAGUAAUAUGUACAAUUUCUAAUUACUUUCAUAUUUUUUUCUUAUUUUAUUAUAUACAAUUUAAGAAUUUCAGAUUGUCAAAAAUAAUUUAAAUUUUUGUUUUACUGUUUUUCUAUCGCUUUCAUGUAAAAGUUUCAAAUAGAAAUAUGUGCAAUAUUUAAUUACUUUCAUUAUGAUCUCAAAAUUAGUUCAAAUUUUCUCCCCAAAACUCUCAUCCAAUUCUAGAUGUACAUAUUUGGGGGGCGAAGGGGCGGGGGCGGGCUGUAGGUGAUGAAAGAGUUCUAAUACCUUUUUCAUUAUUUUUAUCCAAUGAUAAUGAUACAUUAAUUAUAUUCUUUAAUCCUAAAACUAAUUUUGUUGAAUAGCAUAAGUAUGCUUUUUUGAAAUUGUUGAGGGUCUUAACAUGAUACUAAUUGUUCAAUUCUAAACUCAUUUUAUUUUUAUUUUUCUAAUAUCCAAAGACAAUGUUAGGUCAACUUUUUAUUAUUUUUCUUUUACUUCUUUUUAUUAUCUUUAUCAAAUGACAUAGACACCUGAAGUUUAGCCAAACUGAAUUUCAUAAAGCAAAACGUAACAAGUAAAGUAAAUGGAGAGGGUAUAUGUAAAAGUACGUUGAAUAAAUACUUUAGUUUACACGAAAAAAAAUAUUUCAUAUGAACAAAUAUUAGUAUUUUCUUUACAUCGACAAAAGUGUAUAGGAAUAGAAAUUAUUCAUCACCAUUUCACAAAAUACAAAGUUAGUUCUACCAGUUGUGGAAAGCUACCAAUCCUCUUAUCAACAAGGUAUGACACUCUUCUAUACCCUUUAAAGUGUCUUUUCUCACUUGAAGGUUAUGGAAAGGCAAGCUCCCUUUUGCAGACGUAAUUAGUAAGUUUGGCAACUAAAUAAAUUUCAAAUAUUAUUGGUGUCCAAAUACUUGUGAUUAGACUUUGAAUCAUGUUUUCAGUCAAAGCUAAUUUUUAUGUUAGUUAGGACUUACUAUUUGUAUGUAGUAGAAUGAGCAAUAAUUGUCUAAAAGCUCAUUCUGUUUUAUGGGUAGUCUCUAUUCUUGUGUUGUAAUUUAAAACCUUUGGGGUGAAAUACAACACAUUCAAAGUCACUGGAAAAAUUUAACCCAAAAAAAAAGAAAGUUCUACCCAUUGUAAAAGAUAUAACAUCAAGUUAAUUCAUAGAUUUGUUUGCCUAUGAUGAGUAGCAAUCUAUUACCAACUGUUAAAAAAUAAAGGAAUUCCGAGGCCGCAUUCACAAACCUUCUAAUCUUCGUCUUGAAAGUAGUGGAGAAAAUACAAAAUUUACUGCAUUGCCU